AAUAGAUACCCUGGUAGUCCACGCCGUAAACGUUGGGCGCUAGAUGUGGGGACCUUUCCACGGUUUCCGUGUCGUAGCUAACGCAUUAAGCGCCCCGCCUGGGGAGUACGGCCGCAAGGCUAAAACUCAAAGGAAUUGACGGGGGCCCGCACAAGCGGCGGAGCAUGCGGAUUAAUUCGAUGCAACGCGAAGAACCUUACCAAGGCUUGACAUAACCGAGAACACCGUAGAAAUACGGGACUCUUUGGACACUCGGUUACAGGUGGUGCAUGGUUGUCGUCAGCUCGUGUCGUGAGAUGUUGGGUUAAGUCCCGCAACGAGCGCAACCCUCGUCGCAUGUUGCCAGCACGUCAUGGUGGGAACUCAUGUGAGACUGCCGGGGUCAACUCGGAGGAAGGUGGGGAUGACGUCAAAUCAUCAUGCCCCUUAUGUCUUGGGCUUCACGCAUGCUACAAUGGCCGGUACAAAGGGCUGCGAUGUCGUAAGGCGGAGCGAAUCCCAAAAAGCCGGUCUCAGUUCGGGUUGAGGUCUGCAACUCGACCU
rnacentral:rRNA from 1 species